rnacentral:rRNA from 1 species
UACGAAGGGGGCUAGCGUUGCUCGGAAUGACUGGGCGUAAAGGGCGCGUAGGCGGAUGGCACAGUCAGAUGUGAAAUUCCCGGGCUUAACCUGGGGCUGCAUUUGAUACGUGUUGUCUUGAGUUCGGAAGAGGGUCGUGGAAUUCCCAGUGUAGAGGUGAAAUUCGUAGAUAUUGGGAAGAACACCGGUGGCGAAGGCGGCUCACUGGCUCAUAUCUGACGCUCAGGCGCGACAGCGUGGGGAUCAAACAGG